ACCCGCACAAGCGGUGGAUGAUGUGGUUUAAUUCGAUGCAACGCGAAAACCUUACCCACCUUUGACAUGUAUGGAAGUUUCCAGAGAUGGAUUCGUGCUCGAGAGAGAGCCAUAACACAGGUGCUGCAUGGCUGUCGUCAGCUCGUGUCGUGAGAUGUUGGGUUAAGUCCCGCAACGAGCGCAACCCUUGUCAUUAGUUGCUACAUUUGGUUGGGCACUCUAAUGAGACUGCCGGUGACAAACCGGAGGAAGGUGGGGAUGACGUCAAGUCCUCAUGGCCCUUAUAGGUGGGGCUACACACGUCAUACAAUGGCCGGUACAAAGGGUCGCAAACCCGCGAGGGGGAGCCAAUCCAUCAAAGCCGGUCGUAGUCCGGAUCGCAGUCUGCAACUCGACUGCGUGAAGUCGGAAUCGCUAGUAAUCGUGGAUCAGCAUGUCACGGUGAAUACGUUCCCGGGUCUU
rnacentral:rRNA from 1 species